UACGUAGGGACCGAGCGUUGUCCGGAUUCAUUGGGCGUAAAGAGCUCGUAGGCGGCUGUUCAAGUCGAACGUGAAAACUCGGAGCUCAACUCCGAGCCUGCGUUCGAUACUGGACGGCUAGAGUCUGGUAGGGGGAUCUGGAAUUCCUGGUGUAGCGGUGGAAUGCGCAGAUAUCAGGAGGAACACCUGCGGCGAAGGCGGGCUACUGGGCCGAUACUGACGCUGAUGCGCGAAAGCCAGGGGAGCGAACGGG
rnacentral:rRNA from 1 species